UCUCCGUUGGCGAACCAGCGGAGGGAUCAUUACCGAGUUUACAACUCCCAAACCCAAUGUGAACCAUACCAAACUGUUGCCUCGGCGGGGUCACGCCCCGGGUGCGUCGCAGCCCCGGAACCAGGCGCCCGCCGGAGGGACCAACCAAACUCUUUCUGUAGUCCCCUCGCGGACGUUAUUUUUACAGCUCUGAGCAAAAAUUCAAAAUGAAUCAAAACUUUCAACAACGGAUCUCUUGGUUCUG
rnacentral:misc_RNA from 1 species